rnacentral:rRNA from 1 species
AUUGAACGCUGGCGGCAGGCUUAACACAUGCAAGUCGAGCGGGGUGAUGGUGCUUGCACUAUCACUUAGCGGCGGACGUGUGAGUAAUGCUUAGGAAUCUGCCUAUUAGUGGGGGACAACAUCUCGAAAGGGAUGCUAAUACCGCAUACGUCCUACGGGAGAAAGCAGGGGAUCACUUGUGACCUUGCGCUAAUAGAUGAGCCUAAGUCGGAUUAGCUAGUUGGUGGGGUAAAGGCCUACCAAGGCGACGAUCUGUAGCGGGUCUGAGAGGAUGAUCCGCCACACUGGGACUGAGACACGGCCCAGACUCCUACGGGAGGCAGCAGUGGGGAAUAUUGGACAAUGGGGGGAACCCUGAUCCAGCCAUGCCGCGUGUGUGAAGAAGGCCUUAUGGUUGUAAAGCACUUUAAGCGAGGAGGAGGCUCUUUUGGUUAAUACCCAAGAUGAGUGGACGUUACUCGCAGAAUAAGCACCGGCUGACUCUGUGCCAGCAGCCGCAGUAA